rnacentral:misc_RNA from 1 species
CUCCGCCAGUGCCAAAACAAACACACUAAACUGUCACUGUCCUCUGUCCAGUCUACACUUUCACAUUCCUCUAUCAGUUGGUGUGAUGGCGUGGCAUGUAGGAUGUCCGGUAAACAGGAUGUUGGCACUAUGCAUAGCUUUUUUAGAUGUACGGAUAACAGGACGUUGGCACUAAAAGGGUUAUACAUUUAAAGGUGCUUAGGAGUAGGAACAGCUGACAAUCAAGAUGCAUGCUGAAUUGGAGGAAACAGUUGAGAUGUCAGCAGUUGGAGGCAAGUCAGCUGUGUAUGAAGUCAACUCACAAUUGCGGGAGUCUUCUUUCUGGCCUCAGAUACUUGCUUGUUUAUCAGCAGCAUCUCUACAUUUUGCAGUAGGGGCAGUUGUAGGAUUCUCCUACAUAGUGAUUCCAUAUCUUGAAUCUCCAAAAUCAGAUAUAAGAGUGACUGAAGAAGACAUGUCUUGGCUAGGUAGUGUGGUAGCACUGAUGUUGCCAGCGGGGUCCAUGGUAGCGGGGUGUAUCAUAGACAAGAUCGGACGUCUCAACACCAUCAGGGUUGCCAUCUUGCCCUAUGUAACAGGCUGGUUUUGUAUAGCAGUGGCGACUGGUGUUCCCUUUCUCGUGGUUGGCAGGAUCCUCACUGUCUUCUCUAUGGGUUUAGCUUGUAUCCCAGCUGUGGUAUAUAUCACAGAAGUUGCCAAACCAGACCACAGAGGAGCCCUCAUUUGUACAUCACCUUUUCUGGCAUCUUUGGGUAUUCUUGUGAUGUAUGCUAAAGCAGCUUUCAUUUACUGGAGAACCAUCUGCUGGAUAUCCAUCUCCUACUGUGUCCUGCCUCUCCUGCUGAUGUACUGGUGGUCUCCAGAGAGUCCUGUCUGGCUGGUGUCUCAGGGCAAGACUGAACUAGCACUCACAUCUCUGAAAUUCCUCCAGAGGAGUGAUAGCAAGUUUCAGGGAGGUGUAGCCGAGCAGAGACUGUCAACUUUACUUGAGGAACAUAACAAAGCAACUCAGUCUGAUAUCAGGAGGUCAACCUUUGGCCAUCUUCUGUCCCAUUUCACUAAACCAACUGGAUACAAACCAGUCCUACUUCUUACUGUGAUCUUCACUCUCCAGGGACUUUCUGGGAUUUACAUCGUACUGUAUUGUACUGCAACUUUCUUUAAGAAUAUAGGUACCCCUAUAAACCCCUACAUCUGUACAGUUGGUGUAGGAGUGGUGAAAGUGGUGCUGGGAAUAGUCACCAUAAUUCUGCUGAGGAAGUUUGGUCGCCGACCACUAUUCAUGCUGAGCUGUGCCACGAUGGCCUUAUCCAUCUUCACUUGUGGAUACUACACCAAGCAGAUAGCUGAAGGACAUGUGGAAAAAUAUUGGAAUCCAAUGAUGUGUAUUUUGGUUUUCACAAGUGCUGGUGUUGUCGGGUUCAUGAGUAUUCCAUACUCUAUGUCAGCUGAACUGUUCCCUGUAGAACUGCGAGGAUUGGCCCAAAGCCUCCUUGCUAUUAUUGCAAACUUGGUCUUAUUUGUUGCCCUUAAGAUUUAUCCUUUCCUCAGUGAAUUUCUUGGAGAAUAUGGAGUUCAGUGGUUCUUUGCUGCAGUUUCCUUUGGUUCUAUAAUUUUCAUCUACAUUUUCCUCCCAGAAACUCAUAGAAAAGAGCUGCCAGAAAUGCAAGAAUAUUUUACAAACAAUACGGCUUUCCCAAUGGAGUAUGAUACACUGAGAAAAUUUUAUGGGAUAGAAGAAGCUGUGACAGCUUUGUGAUAGAGAAUGGCAUACUGGAAGGAUUUCUUCAUAGUAUUACAAAAGGCUGCUAUCAGAUUGCACUAUCACUAAGUGAUUCAGUAUUACAGUGGUAAUUUUUACAGUCUACGAGUACCAAGGUAUGUUGUUUAUUUGAUAUAAACAUUUAAAACUCUAAUUUAAUUUAUAAUGCACAAAAAGUGUGGUGCUAUGUAUUUCACCAUUAUUUUAGUUUAUGAAUGAAUUUUAAAUCAUUUCUUGGUAUUGUAGACAUUAAGUAAAGGAGUAAAAUAGUGAUACGCAAUUGUCGUACACUCCUAUUAAUUGUCUUGAUUGUUGGAAACUCUCGAGACUUCAGUGGAAUAUUUCACAACUUAAAUGUCUUGUUUCUAUUCAGAUUGGAGUAGGGCUUCUUUAUGUUUAACUUGUUAAGAACUUUUUUUUACACAUUGAGUGCGGCGAGCAGGAAAUCCUGUGCUCAGAACAGUCAUAUCGGUGUGGUAUGCAGGAUUUCUCGCACUUUAACCCACCUACCACUAUUGUAUCAGUUGCCAGCUAGCAUUGCUUGGCAAAAAUUGUGCGGUUUGUAGGAUUGAAAGCCAUCCAACAGAAAAUUCCUGGCAAGAUGUGACAGUUCCAGGACUUAAAGUGUUCAUAGGUAUUGUGCUUCAUAAGGGAACAAUUAGAAUCUGUCAGAACCAGAACUACUGGAAAAGAUCACGAAUAUUUGAUCUCAAAUGCUUCAAAGAACAAUGUGGAAUGUGAUGGUGAUAAAGCAGAGGGUAGGCUAAACAAAGUGGAAAUGCCAGUUGAGUAUUUCAACCAGAAAAUUGAUGAUGUUUAUUACCCAUGUAAGGAACUUUUUCUUGACAAGGGAUUGAUGCUGUGAAUACUAUAUUUUGGUGUUUCGGCAGUACAUAAAGGGAAAACGCCAUAAACAUGGAAUUAAAUUGUACUCUCUCAAUGUGAGUCUCAGGGACUAGUUUCUUGAUUUGUUGUAUACUCUGACAGUCAAGAGGAUUUAGGGGGCAAAUAUCACACUACCAAUGUAGUAAUAUAUCUGAUGAGAGGAGGACUGAAGACACCUUAUACAUGGACAACUUAUUCUCUUGCUUCUAAACUGCUGUUCAACAAAACCUACCAAACUGGCACCUCAGACUGAAUAGGAGACAUUCCAGAUGUAAAACUGGCAAAACUGAAAAAAAUGGAAACAAUUGCACGAUAUGCUGAAGGUGUCAUGGUGGCCAAAUGGAGGGCUAAAACAUUGUGUCAUACAUCUUUACGAAACUUGACGACAACAUGGUCUUCACAACGAAUUGUGUGUAGAGAAAAACCCUUGGCUAUUGCGCAAAUUAGCAUGAAAGGGGUUGCUGUCCUACCACCCUAGUGAUCACAAAUCAAUAUUUUGGUCUAAGAAGAUUUUUAUUCAUCUUCUUCAGAUGGUCAAGCUUACUAAAACAUUCCAUGUGUACGCCAACAGUACAUCGUGGAUAUUGUUAGGCAGUUCUUUGCCUAUGUAGAUCCAGAAGCUCCAGCAGUCACUACAGCGAUGGUCACCAGUAUCUGGGUUAAAGAAAAGGUUAUAAUAAAACAACACAACUUGGCUCUUUAAUUGAUUAAACAUCAUACUUUAGUUAAAUGUGAAAGUAUAUAAAUAUUUAACUUUGUAAUGACAUAAAACAAUGUAUUUUAGUAAAUAAUUAAACAAAUCCAAAAGAAAUUAUUCCAGAACAAUUAUUUAAUUGAGAAAUCAUUAUAACACUAUUGAAACAAGCUUUUUAUUAGUCCUAAUAAGACACACCAAAUUUUAAACAUGAGAGAGCACUCUACGUUUUUAAAUAACAAUUAUUUACAUUUUUUCAAUCAUUUUCAAUGUACUAAUUAUACAUUUAAAUAUAAAGAGGUGUUUAAAAAAUCCUACAAGUAAAAUAUGUACAUGCGCAAGGGUUUAUUUGUUACUAGAAUGAAUCAAAUUAAAUUUGGUCAUAAUAAAGCAAAAUUAGUCAUUUUGAGUAAUGUACAAUUAGUAAUACUACUGAAAAAUAACUAGGCAUCAAAUAACUUUCACCUUUUGUCUUAGUCAUUGCCAGCGUCUUUAUAUUUUAUAUAUUCAAUAGUACAUCCAUUUUCUAAAUAAAAAAGAAUACUAACAAUCACAAAUUUUAUAUAUGUACAGUAUUAACUCAUAUGCAUAUAAAGACUUUUUCAAUAAAAUGAUGCGUGAAAAAUUAUGUUGCACACGGAAGUUAUUCAAUGCCUAGGACUACGGAAGGGCACAAACAGAGGCUACUUCCAGCUCACAACAUUAUCUUGACUCAGACUAAUGUAAAGGUACAGUUGGCAGUGGGGGUGACUGAUUCUAGUUCUUAGAAAGAGGCUCACAGAAUAUGCCAGGCUGCCAACACACAGAAAGUAACUUUUUUAAAGAAAAACAAAACAACCUGGAGGUAACCUCUGUGAUGGGCCCUCUCUAGAUUUAAGGUAGGAGUUAAUUUUUUGUUUUAAGCUGCAUACACAGUAGAGUAGAGUGAAUAGACAAAUAUUACUAUUCACUUCACUAUAUUUUAAUCAAUUCUUUUGUGAAAAUGACAAUCUGAUUGGUUUUUCAGUAUCAAACUUUUUAGCUUUUAACUUGUUUUUAUACAAAAAGGUGCUUCUUUGUUUAGUUUAAAUAUGACACGAGAAUGUUAUGGAAAUAAUAAAGUACUAAUACUGAAUUUGAUAGAUGGAUUAGAUAGGACUGAUAAUAAUACUGAUGAUUUAUGGAAUAUAUAAUGUGAUUUCCUAAUAAUUGCCAUUCUCAUCCGACUUAUGUACUGAUAGUGUAUACUCCGGGUAAAGGAUGAUUACUUAACAGCCCUAUGACAAGGGGAGACUGAGGGACAAACAGUUUAAUGUGGGUCCUGAACAAACUACUUAUAAGUCUGAUAUUAUUAUAAAUAUGAACACAUAACUUAAUUAAUGUUCUGUAUUCAACCAGAACAUACUCAAUUCUCAAAAAGUGCCUGUUCAUCUAAAACAGGAUAACAUGAUAGUAUUGUAGUGAAGCAUGGAACAAAUUAUUACAACUUUAUGUUAAAUAGAAAUCUACUUUGUUUAAUCACCUUGUUCAGUUAAUUUUUGUUUUUUAUAGUUUUCCUUAAGUUUGUUGUAACUCCUAACAUUGUUUAUAAAAUAAGAUACAUGCAGUUGCAACACUCAUUAUUGUUCUUACAAUCAACUGUCAGUAACUAAUAGUUUUUAAACAUUUUGUAAAAAUAAUAUUUUUAUUCCAGCCUGAAAGGAUAAAGCAAAAUAUUUCAAAUUUAUUGUAUUAUUAACCAAGGAUCUGGCACACCUUAUAUUGGUUUUUUGUUGUGUUAUAAAUAGCUGUGCUCAGUAUCGUGUCUAACAUAGUUUUUUCAUGUGUAGUUUAUAUAUUUAAAAUAUAAUAAAAUAGCAUCGCUACUAGCGAAUAGAGGAAUGUUUAGUUUACAAUUAUUUGUUUUACGUUUAUACUCAGCAGAAUAUUUGUUUAUUGAGUUUUAAAAUACCUUGUGAAGUUACUAAAAUAUAAAUUAGUAUUCAAUUCAAUUUAGAAAUAGGAAAGGUCAUGAUGAUUGGUAUUAAUAUAAAUUGGUAUAAGUAUAGUAAAAAUGUAAAAAUAUAUUUUCAAAUUAAUGAAUUUUUUUAAACUAAUAUGUCAGGUUCAUUUAGAAUUUAUUAUGGACCAAUUGUGUGAUAUGAUAAUCUUAUGGGGGGUGAAGAUUUACAUUUAUGACAAGCUGUGAUUUUGUAAAUCUGUGCAUGUUCUCUUCAUUUUCCACAGCAGUAGGCC